rnacentral:lncRNA from 1 species
GGGUAUGUUCAAUUCGAACUUGGGUCCAUCAAGCCAAUCAAGCAUGCCUCUCUUUGUUUAUUUUGUACUAAAGUAAAAAAAGUUUAAUUAAUCUGCAGCUUUGUAGGUGGAUCAUGCUCCACUUUCAGUAAACCAGAUCCUGAUCACCUUCCAUAAUGUAUUGAUCUACAUCACGAAUAGAAUGGACUGAGCUUAAUUUGGACAACAUCAAAAACUGUCAAGCUUCUACUUGCUUUCAUCCACAAGACACUUCAGUAAGGUUGUCCGACUAUUUACUGGCUCUUCUCUGUCUGGAUACAAGUUGCAUGCCGCUCGUAGAUGCAAAUUUUUCUGAGAUUUUUCUA